rnacentral:rRNA from 1 species
CAGCACCUCAAGUGGUCAGGAUGAUGAUUGGGCCUAAAGCAUCCGUAGCCGGCUCUGUAAGUUUUCGGUUAAAUCUGUACGCUCAACGUACAGGCUGCCGGGAAUACUGCAGAGCUAGGGAGUGGGAGAGGUAGACGGUACUCGGUAGGAAGGGGUAAAAUCCUUUGAUCUAUUGAUGACCACCUGUGGCGAAGGCGGUCUACCAGAACACGUCCGACGGUGAGGGAUGAAAGCUGGGGGAGCAAACCGGAUUAGAUACCCGAGUAGUCC